UUCUCUGUUUCUUCUUAUGCUUCAUCCUCCGUGAUAUACUUUUCUAAUAUAGUAGAAAUAUGAGUUAACAUGUUGGUAUCAGCAUGUCUGCUAGGAGGAAUUAAAAUUCAAAGUGAAGGCAUAUUUGACUUUUCAUAGAAUUACUUAAGCAACGUGCCAGCCCCUUUGGGAGCUAAGUCGAAUAUCUUGGUGAUCUUGUGAGUGGUUGAUAAACUGCGAUUGCAAUCCCAGAGUUCUUCCACCAUCAUUGUUCUUCCGUCUUCUUCCAUCUUCCCUGUUUUCGAGAAGGCACAAUCACCCACUGCAAACUUUUUGAACAAACAUGCCCCAAAAUUUUUUUUUUGGAUUAAGAAUCUAUAUGACAGCUUUAUUUUUCAAUUUGUUUGACUAUUUUGGAGUGGGAGAGUUAGGCGGGAAGAAGAGUUAGGACAUAACUUAUAGCUCUUCGCCAAUGGUCUUUAUCCAGGUAGAAAUUCCAUUUUUUGUUGGAUUUUGGCGCUUUCAUCUUAGUUUUAUUUAUGUAAUUUAUUUCCUUACUCCUGAAUUUAGCCUUGAUUCUCCAUUCAUUUUAAAAAAUUUCCCUUUCACUUUUCGAGUGUGUGAAUCCAAGAUGAACAAAGAUGAAGUCCACUUAGGUUUUAUUGUUUUUAUCUUGAUGCACAUAUAAAUGUUUCAUUCUAUUUUUUAGAGAUUAUUGAUUUACUGAAUUCACAGGUGUAUAACUUGGUUUUGGAUUUACCGAGCUAACGAGACAUUGAACUAUCUUGAGAGCUUGUUGGCAAAAAAAUUGAUGUAUUAUAGAACCUAAAAACUCAGGUUAUCUUAUCUUUAUAAAUUUCAUUAGAUUUCAGGUUAUCUUAUCUUUAUAAAUUUCAUUAGAUUUUGGUAUUCAUUUAUUCCAAUUUCUAAUGUAAUCUGCUUCCGAGUGAAAUCAUGAUGUGACUCACUAUGAAGCAUGCUUGAUUUAUCAUGAGCUCUAAAUUUGUGACUCUUAUGUGAAAUAUGUUUCAUUCUCUGAGCAAUGCUUCAUUCUAUGAGGAAGAGGAGCUAUGACACAGCCAAAUAAAAUAUAAAUGUGAAAUAAAAACUGAAAAUAUGUGGGAAGUCAUCCUCCAAUGUCGAUGAAUGAUGUCCAAGUGCAGGAAAAAAUUCAAAAAGAUUUGUAUUAACCCAGUGUAAGCACUCCCAAUGAUAGAUCUAUCAUUCGAUGCUAAAAUUGCUUUACACUCAUAGUAUAGGUAACUAAUAUUCACAACACUAUCAUAGUUAAACCAGUGAUACUGCAUCAAUAAAGGCUUAGAUUUUGCAUUGUGACUUUUUCAAUAAUGAUAAUGAUGUCAAGAAGGUCUCUAUUGGUUAACAUUUAUUUUGCUUAUUGGCACGUCUCUACAAUUUCCUUUUUGGCGAGUCGUAUUCACUCUGUACUAUUGUUCGCCAAACAUGACAGUUGGUGCUUACCUUUUCAAAGAAAUUGCUCCGACUUGAAAGAGCCUUGAACUACUCUAUUGUUGGAUAAAAUAGAAUGUUGAAAGUUGUUACUCUUAAUAUUGACAUUAAAAUUUGCCAAAACCUGUUAAUGAAAUUUGGUGUUUGGAUCAAACCAAAAUUUUCAUUUUAAAUCCUUAUGUUUGGGUUAACGUAGCUGAAGUAUAUGACAACGCUUGGUGAUUCGAUACUUUUCAAGAACAUUACUAAAGCUUAAAGGAACCUUUUAUUGAAAUAUGGACUUUUUAUUGAACUUGUUUAAUCCAGGGAGCAAUAAUAUGGCAUAUGUACUUAUGUACAUUAUUGGAGUAAUAUAUUUGAUCUAUGUUAGAGUUUCCCAGGAGCUUGUUGGGAACUCUCGGCUCAUGGAGCCAUUAGGGAAUAAAUGCAAUAGUUGUUAGACCUUAGAGUCGUAACGGUUGAUGGAUACCAAAGUGUUCCACAGGAAUAAAGUGUCCCUUUUUGUGUUGUUGCUUAACAACCUGUCAAUGUGGGCAUCGACUGAAGCAAACAAUGGUGAAGAGAGGAAGGCAGUUACUUUUGUACCACAUUAACAU
rnacentral:lncRNA from 1 species